rnacentral:rRNA from 1 species
CCUACGGGAGGCAGCAGUGGGGAAUAUUGCWCAAUGGGCGCAAGCCUGAUSCMRCCMWKSCGCGUGUGUGNAARAAGGCUUUCGGGUUGUAAAGCACUUUCAGCGAGGAGGAAAGGUUGUACUUUAAUAGAGUGCAGCUGUGACGUUACUCGCAGAAGAAGCWCCGGCUAACUCCGUGCCAGCAGCCGCGGUAAUACGGAGGGUGCGAGCGUUAAUCGGAAUUACUGGGCGUAAAGCGCGCGUAGGUGGUUAAUUAAGUCAGAUGUGAAAUCCCAGGGCUCAACCUUGGAACUGCAUUUGAAACUGGUUGACUAGAGUUCUGUAGAGGGUGGUAGAAUUUCAGGUGUAGCGGUGAAAUGCGUAGAGAUCUGAAGGAAUACCAGUGGCGAAGGCGGCCACCUGGACAAAGACUGACAYUGAGGCGCGAAGGCGUGGGGAGCAAACGGGAUUAGAUACCCCGGUAGUCCACGCAGUAAACGAUGUCUAUUAGAAUUUUGUGGCUAUAUGCCGUGGGAUUCAAAGCUAACGCAUUAAAUAGACCGCCUGGGGGAGUACGGCCGCAAGGUUAAAACUCAAAGGAAUUGACGGGG